UUGAAAAUUCAGUGACUGAAUAUUUUGUGUUAUUGCACAACUGGGGCAGAAAUAACCUGAACAUCAGAAGAAUUUGCUAAGGAUUUCUCUCCUGGGUGCUGGAGACAUCUUUUUCCCUGGACCUGGCUACAGGAAGGAAUGUCUCUACAACCAUUGCUGGUAAUGUUCCCUAUGCCUUGCUGGGACCAGCCCUCUCCCUCCCACCGCAGUCUGCAGCAGGGCCUGGGACAGGGAUUUAGGGCGGUGUACCUCUGAAUUUGCCGAAAUGCUAAAUCCAAACUUCCAAAAAAGUUGAUGUCCAGCGAGGAGCAGAAGGAAAUGCAGCAGGAUUUGUUACUGAAUCUUAAAUGAAUUGUCAAGUAUGGAGGGCUGAUUGCAGUGGAAUGUAACAUGAGACUGAAAGUCUAACCUGCCCAUCGGCGCACUAACCAUCCAGAAGACACAUCCGCGUUACUGUUAGCAAACAAUCUGCCCUUCCCAGAUUCUUUUAGAAAAGUAAAGGUUAUGCAAAUGUUGUUGUUCAUUGCUCCCAUUUUUCAGGAUUAAAAAAAAAAAGGAUUUCAGAGAACAAGGAUUCAAAAAGGCCGAGGAGCUACGGCGUGGUUAUGGACUCUUCUUCUUUGGGAGGAGGGGGAAAUGACCCCAAA